GCCCUUUUCCGGUUGAUCCUGCCGGAGGCUAUUGCUAUCGGUGUCCGAUUUAGCCAUGCGAGUUGCACGUUUAACGUAGCAAACUGCUCAGUAACACGUGGCCAAACUACCCUAUGGAUCGGGAUAACCUCGGGAAACUGAGGCUAAUCCCGAAUAGUACAUCCAGCCUGGAACUGGCGGAUGUACGAAACGCCCCGGCGCCAUAGGAUGUGGCUGCGGCCGAUUAGGUAGACGGUGGGGUAACGGCCCACCGUGCCGAUAAUCGGUACGGGUCAUGAGAGUGAGAGCCCGGAGACGGACUCUGAGACACGAGUCCGGGCCCUACGGGGCGCAGCAGGCGCGAAACCUUUACACUGCACGACAGUGCGAUAGGGGGACACCGAGUGCGAGG
rnacentral:rRNA from 1 species